rnacentral:tmRNA from 1 species
GACCUUUUCAUUUAUUUCACAGCGCCUAUAUCGGGGAUGCCGGGUUCGCCCGGCUAUGGCGAUAAAUGCCAGCGUAAAAUAGACGCAGCGGACCCGGGGGCAGUACCCGGCGGCUCCACCACAACCGGCCCUGACCGAUAUCGGUCAAGGCGGGGGUUAGUACGACGAAAGCGCGGUUCGGGCCGAACCGGGCAACAGAAUCGGACACCAGCGGCCCGGGGGGGCCGGGCAACAGAACCCCCCACC